AUAGAGGAGCAGGCAUAAGGCACGACCUACGUCAGCCAGCAAAGCCUUGUUUAGCCACACCCCCAAGGGAACUCAGCAGUAAUAGACAUUAAGCAAUAAGUGUAAACUUGACUUAAUUAAAACCAAUCAGGGCCGGUGAAACUCGUGCCAGCCGCCGCGGUUAUACGAGAGGCCCAAGUUGAUAACCGCCGGCGUAAAAGGUGGAACUACGAAGAAGAAAAAUAAAGCCGAAUGCCCUCAAGACUGUUAUAAGUUUUCGAGGAAUAGAAGCCUACCAACGAAAGUGGCUUUAAAAACUGUAUAAUCCACGAAAGCUAGGGAACAAACUGGGAUUAGAUACCCCACUAUGCCUAGCCAUAAACACAAGUGAAAUCUUCACAACCCCGCUUGCCAGGGGAUUACGAGCGUGAGCUUAAAACCCAAAGGACUUGGCGGUGCUUUAGACCCCCCUAGAGGAGCCUGUUCUAUAACCGAUAAUCCCCGUUAAACCUCACCCUCUCUUGUUCUCCCC
rnacentral:rRNA from 1 species